UGGUGAAUAUUGCACAAUGGGGGAAACCCUGAUGCAGCGACGCCGCGUGAACGAAGAAGGUAUUCGUAUCGUAAAGUUCUGUCCUAUGGGAAGAUAAUGACAGUACCAUAGAAGAAAGCUCCGGCUAAAUACGUGCCAGCAGCCGCGGUAAUACGUAUGGAGCGAGCGUUGUCCGGAAUUAUUGGGCGUAAAGGGUACGCAGGCGGUUUAAUAAGUCGAAUGUUAAAGAUCGGGGCUCAACCCCGUAAAGCAUUGGAAACUGAUAAACUUGAGUAGUGGAGAGGAAAGUGGAAUUCCUAGUGUAGUGGUGAAAUACGUAGAUAUUAGGAGGAAUACCAGUAGCGAAGGCGACUUUCUGGACACAAACUGACGCUGAGGUACGAAAGCGUGGGGAGCAAACAGG
rnacentral:rRNA from 1 species